rnacentral:rRNA from 1 species
GGUUAAGCGACUAAGCGUACACGGUGGAUGCCCUGGCAGUCAGAGGCGAUGAAGGACGUGCUAAUCUGCGAUAAGCGCCGGUAAGGUGAUAUGAACCGUUAUAACCGGCGAUUUCCGAAUGGGGAAACCCAGUGUGAUUCGUCACACUAUCAUUAACUGAAUCCAUAGGUUAAUGAGGCGAACCGGGGGAACUGAAACAUCUAAGUACCCCGAGGAAAAGAAAUCAACCGAGAUUCCCCCAGUAGCGGCGAGCGAACGGGGAGGAGCCCAGAGCCUGAAUCAGCAUGUGUGUUAGUGGAAGCGUCUGGAAAGGCGCGCGAUACAGGGUGACAGCCCCGUACACAAAAGCGCAUGUGCUGUGAGCUCGAUGAGUAGGGCGGGACACGUGGUAUCCUGUCUGAAUAUGGGGGGACCAUCCUCCAAGGCUAAAUACUCCUGACUGACCGAUAGUGAACCAGUACCGUGAGGGAAAGGCGAAAAGAACCCCGGCGAGGGGAGUGAAAAAGAACCUGAAACCGUGUACGUACAAGCAGUGGGAGCACCCUUUGGGGUGUGACUGCGUACCUUUUGUAUAAUGGGUCAGCGACUUAUAUUCUGUAGCAAGGUUAACCGUAUAGGGGAGCCGUAGGGAAACCGAGUCUUAACCGGGCGUUAAGUUGCAGGGUAUAGACCCGAAACCCGGUGAUCUAGCCAUGGGCAGGUUGAAGGUUGGGUAACACUAACUGGAGGACCGAACCGACUAAUGUUGAAAAAUUAGCGGAUGACCUGUGGCUGGGGGUGAAAGGCCAAUCAAACCGGGAGAUAGCUGGUUCUCCCCGAAAGCUAUUUAGGUAGCGCCUCGUGAAUUCAUCUCCGGGGGUAGAGCACUGUUUCGGCUAGGGGGCCAUCCCGGCUUACCAACCCGAUGCAAACUGCGAAUACCGGAGAAUGUUAUCACGGGAGACACACGGCGGGUGCUAACGUCCGUCGUGAAGAGGGAAACAACCCAGACCGCCAGCUAAGGUCCCAAAGUCAUGGUUAAGUGGGAAACGAUGUGGGAAGGCCCAGACAGCCAGGAUGUUGGCUUAGAAGCAGCCAUCAUUUAAAGAAAGCGUAAUAGCUCACUGGUCGAGUCGGCCUGCGCGGAAGAUGUAACGGGGCUAAACCAUGCACCGAAGCUGCGGCAGCGACGCUUAUGCGUUGUUGGGUAGGGGAGCGUUCUGUAAGCCUGCGAAGGUGGCCUGUGAGGGUUGCUGGAGGUAUCAGAAGUGCGAAUGCUGACAUAAGUAACGAUAAAGCGGGUGAAAAGCCCGCUCGCCGGAAGACCAAGGGUUCCUGUCCAACGUUAAUCGGGGCAGGGUGAGUCGACCCCUAAGGCGAGGCCGAAAGGCGUAGUCGAUGGGAAACGGGUUAAUAUUCCCGUACUUGGUGUUACUGCGAAGGGGGGACGGAGAAGGCUAUGUUGGCCGGGCGACGGUUGUCCCGGUUUAAGCGUGUAGGUGUGUGUUCCAGGUAAAUCCGGUUCACUUUAACACUGAGGCGUGACGACGAGGCACUACGGUGCUGAAGCAACAAAUGCCCUGCUUCCAGGAAAAGCCUCUAAGCAUCAGGUAACAUCAAAUCGUACCCCAAACCGACACAGGUGGUCAGGUAGAGAAUACCAAGGCGCUUGAGAGAACUCGGGUGAAGGAACUAGGCAAAAUGGUGCCGUAACUUCGGGAGAAGGCACGCUGACACGUAGGUGAAGUGAUUUACUCACGGAGCUGAAGUCAGUCGAAGAUACCAGCUGGCUGCAACUGUUUAUUAAAAACACAGCACUGUGCAAACACGAAAGUGGACGUAUACGGUGUGACGCCUGCCCGGUGCCGGAAGGUUAAUUGAUGGGGUCAGCGCAAGCGAAGCUCCUGAUCGAAGCCCCGGUAAACGGCGGCCGUAACUAUAACGGUCCUAAGGUAGCGAAAUUCCUUGUCGGGUAAGUUCCGACCUGCACGAAUGGCGUAAUGAUGGCCAGGCUGUCUCCACCCGAGACUCAGUGAAAUUGAACUCGCUGUGAAGAUGCAGUGUACCCGCGGCAAGACGGAAAGACCCCGUGAACCUUUACUAUAGCUUGACACUGAACAUUGAGCCUUGAUGUGUAGGAUAGGUGGGAGGCUUUGAAGUGUGGACGCCAGUCUGCAUGGAGCCGACCUUGAAAUACCACCCUUUAAUGUUUGAUGUUCUAACGUGGACCCGUUACCCGGGUUGCGGACAGUGUCUGGUGGGUAGUUUGACUGGGGCGGUCUCCUCCUAAAGAGUAACGGAGGAGCACGAAGGUUGGCUAAUCCUGGUCGGACAUCAGGAGGUUAGUGCAAUGGCAUAAGCCAGCUUGACUGCGAGCGUGACGGCGCGAGCAGGUGCGAAAGCAGGUCAUAGUGAUCCGGUGGUUCUGAAUGGAAGGGCCAUCGCUCAACGGAUAAAAGGUACUCCGGGGAUAACAGGCUGAUACCGCCCAAGAGUUCAUAUCGACGGCGGUGUUUGGCACCUCGAUGUCGGCUCAUCACAUCCUGGGGCUGAAGUAGGUCCCAAGGGUAUGGCUGUUCGCCAUUUAAAGUGGUACGCGAGCUGGGUUUAGAACGUCGUGAGACAGUUCGGUCCCUAUCUGCCGUGGGCGCUGGAGAACUGAGGGGGGCUGCUCCUAGUACGAGAGGACCGGAGUGGACGCAUCACUGGUGUUCGGGUUGUCAUGCCAAUGGCACUGCCCGGUAGCUAAAUGCGGAAGAGAUAAGUGCUGAAAGCAUCUAAGCACGAAACUUGCCCCGAGAUGAGUUCUCCCUGAGACUUAGAGUCUCCUGAAGGAACGUUGAAGACGACGACGUUGAUAGGCCGGGUGUGUAAGCGCAGCGAUGCGUUGAGCUAACCGGUACUAAUGAACCGUGAGGCUUAACCUU